UCCAAGGCUUUGGCUAACCAAGCCCAGCUUUGUUCUACAGCUGUUCUUCUGAUCUCGUUUAAAGAAGUGACAGAACACAUCUGAGCUCAGAGUGAAGCCAUGGUGACAACAGGAGCACACUGCACCUCCGCUGCCUGGCAUGAAAGUCCUGAUGUCCACAGCUCCCAGGGAUGAGUUUCAUCGGCUUCUGCAGAGACAUCUCUGAGCUAUCUGUGCAAGAGGAAACUCCACACCUUCAGCAAGAGAAAAGGAAAAGGCAAAUGGAAUGAGUCUGGUGUGAAUGUAGGAGGUGAUAAAUGAGCAGAGAAGCAAGUCAGCAAAAGGAAGAAGGCUGAUCCAAUGCAAUGCUGUGUACAGAGCUGUGUCAUGUGGCUUCCUCAUUUACACCACGCAGACAUCACUGCAGCCAUUGCUCUGCUCAGGAACCUCGCCUCCCCUCCGUGGGACGAUGAAUGUCCACAAUCUUGGGAGCAAAAGUCACCUUCUGUGCCCAGAGCUGUGAGAUGGAGUGCACUCAGGCCUGUACAAAAUGUGUAACUUCCUCCAGCACUUCUGCUGCAGAGAUUGGCAGAUCGCUGAGUGCCAGUGCUGGAGUUAGCACUGCUUAUCUGCACCUCAUUUACACUGAAUCCUGCGUGGGGAACUUCCUAACUCCUGAACUGUCCUAUGAAGCCACAGCCCCACCAUCUUAUAAGAGCAUCAGGAAUAAAUAAGGUCUGCUCCUCUGGGACUUAAUGAGGGGACACCAUUUCCACCAUAGCCUGGUUAAAUGAGCUGAACUGCUGCCCUAACUGAAGGAGGGCAGCAUUCACGUUGGCAGCUUGUGGCAUUCUCACCUCACCAGGAGAUGCCACUUUAACUGCCAUGGCUCUGAGCUCUGCUGAGCCUGGUGUCAGCACACCUUGCUGGAUGCAGAUGACUGCAAGGGUUUAACGCUCACUUCCUCACUCCUCUAACAAAAAACUUCUGUGAUUACUGACUACAAAAACUGUUUCAAGAAUUUUAUUCUUAGAAAUUCCUCUCCCAACGUUUAUGUUACCAUGUCUGAUCUGUCUGCAUGCUGCCUUGCAGCUGAUCUAGCAGGGGCAGCUACAAGAAUUGUGUACAAACUACAGCAAG
rnacentral:lncRNA from 1 species